GGAGAAUCAAAGCAAGAACAUGGAAAAAAGCAGAUAGUGCAGUGUUCUUUAAAGGAUCAGAUGCCACAAGACACUGCUUCAGAUGAUCAAUCAAAUAUGUAAGCACCUUCACACGGUUUUGGCCGUCAUUCUGUGAGCUGAUAGUCACAAGCAUAUCCCGGACAGGAAAAGCUAAUGUUUCCUUUGCCUGUAGCAGCCUAAGACAUGAAGAUAAUACUUCAUCCAUGGGAGGGAGCUGAACAUUUACUUCCUCGAGCUCAAGAUCAUUAGUUCUGUCAUCUUCCUCUUGAACAGGUGUAUCAGAAUUCCCUAGAGACAUAGCAAGAGCUCGAGCAAGUUCAUCAUCCUCUGGUGGUUCCUCCGGGUGUGAGAACAACCAGUCAGUCGCGAUCUCAACGCUAUUUG
rnacentral:lncRNA from 1 species